ensembl:lncRNA
UUUUCCAUAUGUACCAAUAGGUCAGAUAGUUAUGAUAAGAACCCUCUAACAUUUUUUACUUUAAAUAUAACUAAUUUAUUUAUUCCGAAAGUGAUUCCAACAAAUAUAAGAACUAGUUCACAUACACACUUCCUUCUGUUAAUACAGUUUUGGAAAGAUAAAAGACAAGAAGACAUUCUUACCACCCACCGCAACCAGGCACCUGCAGACUCUCAGAACAACCACAGGAAGACACAGCAAGAAGGCUGCCAACUGCAAGCUAAAAAAACCCAUCACCAGAGCCUAACCAUGCUAGUAGUUUUAUCUGGAACUUCCAGCCUCCAGAACUGUGAGAAAACAAAUUUCCGUUGUUUAAGUUAUCAAGUCUAUGGUAUUUUAUAACGGCAAGCUGACUUAAAUAGUCAUCAUCUUGCAUGUUCUGCACAUGUACCCCAAAACCUAAAAUGCAAUAAAAAAAUUAAAUAAAUAAAAAUUUUAAAAAAGAGAAAAAAAUAGUCAUUAUCUAAUUCGUCCUUUGAAUUGACUCAUAAUUUUGUGAUAAAGAAACUAGCAGCUCCUAUUGAUUGCACACCUGCUAUGUAUCUGGCACUGUUUAAGAUACCUUAUAAAACUUAUCUCUAAUUCCGAAAACAACUAAAAGGUAGGUAAAACCCGUGUCUGCAGAUAAACCAUGCAAGUCUCAGAGAUGAAGUGAUGUGCUAAAGCUCACACAAGUGCAUUGUAGACCAGAAUAAAAUCCAGACAGGCUCCAAGACCCAAGAUCUUCUCUCUUCUCCUGGACAGUCAUCUAGCUCUUCCUUGAAUACCUCCAGUGAUGAUAUUUAUUUCUAAGGUAGUUUGUUCCAGUGAUAAAUGUGGAACAGAUUCAGGUUUUGGUUUGUUUUUAUUUUGUGUUCAGCUGAAACCUGCCUCUGUAUUAAUUUUUUCAAUAGUCUCAGUCCCACUCCUUUAGUAUUUUAUUCUUCAUAACAGGAUUUCAUUAUCUUCUUUUGGCCUACCCUCUUUUAGGGUGAACCAUAUUAAAUGAGUAAUUCAUUGUCUAUGGAUUGUUUUUUGACCUGUGAAGGCACAGACUUUGGUUCUCAUCCUCAAAUUGCCUUCGGUUCUAUCUGGAGGUCUGCAAAAGGAGUUUGAAGGUUUUAAGCAUCUACUUGUACUCCUACUUGACUACUUGUUUAUAUCUGUUAUCACUGCUCGAUAGGAAAAGCCCUAUAUAUAUAUAGGUAUACACCGGAUGCUACCAGGAUUUUUAGACCAUACAACAAACAAAGAAACAAACAAAUAAACAAGAUCAAGCAGUGCUACGCACAUGCCAAGGGAAGGUAAGGAUCAUCUUUCUCAGCUUUCUGCCUUAGGUUACCUUCAGAUGCCGGAAGCUGUUCACAGUCAUCUCAGUAAGUCCCCUCAGUAGUUCUAUGAGCUUCUUCCUCGUUUUCAAUAGUGGGUGAAUACUAAUACAUGAG